UACGUAGGGUGCAAGCGUUAAUCGGAAUUACUGGGCGUACAGCGCGCGCAGGCGGUCCACUACGUGCCGUGUGACAAACGUCGGCUUAACCGACGGAGGCCAGGGUACACGGGUGAACUUGAGGCAGAGAGAGGGAUGUGGAAUACCCGGUGUAGCGGUGAAAUGCGCAGAUAUCAGGAGGAACACCGGUGGCGAAGGCGGGUCUCUGGGCAGUAACUGACGCUGAGGAGCGAAAGCGUGGGGAGCGAACAGG
rnacentral:rRNA from 1 species